rnacentral:rRNA from 1 species
CACGGGGGGAGCGAACGUUGUUCGGAAUCACUGGGCGUAAAGCGCACGUAGGCGGCUUGGCAAGUCGGAUGUGAAAUCCCUCGGCUCAACCAAGGAAGUGCAUCCGAAACUGCUGAGCUUGAGUACUUAAGAGGAUCGCGGAAUUCCCGGUGUAGAGGUGAAAUUCGUAGAUAUCGGGAGGAACACCAGUGGCGAAGGCGGCGAUCUGGGAAGAUACUGACGCUGAGGUGCGAAAGCGUGGGGAGCAAACAGG